AUACGUUCUCACUGCAUCACAGAGCAGAUUAUUUUGUCACCAGCACAGAGGUUUCCUCUCAGGGGAAGCUCAAUAUUCAACUACAUUACAAAGCGUUGUUAACAAUGACUCCAGUCCAAGGGAAAGAAGAGUGAUAUCCCUCAGUCAACAGGGUUGAAAUUCUGGCCUUGCUGAAAUCGACGACAAAACUAUUAACAUCCAUGGGGCCAGAAUGUAGCUUGAAGAAUCUUUCUCAAACCAGAAAAGUCCUUCUAUGUUCAAGAAACUUUUAGACUGUGACCAGCUAUGUGGCAGACUUCUGUUAACUCUGGGGUGAUUUACAGCAACAAAAAUGUCUGCAAGAUGCGCUUUGCUGAAGCGUGCAGCAGGAGUGCUCAGCAUGCAGGAGUGCCAUUCAUUGUAGUCAGACACACUCUUUGAAAUCAUAUGCUCCCAGCAGAUUAGUAAGAGUUUUAAUCUCAAAAGACAAAUCUGCCCCACCAUUGAAUUCAUGGAGAGCUGCAUUCCUCACGCAUGAGUACAUGAAAACCUUGUCGUCCCGGCUGCACUGCUAAGGACUUCACAGGGCAAUGUGUGUGUCCUCCUCACAAAGACAUUGUGCCAAACCAAAGCUUUCAUUUUUUCUCAAUUCAGAAUAAAAUUAUCAGGGUUUUGGUCCUGCACAGGCACACUUGUCCAGCAAGAGUAGACAAGAACCAGAAACUUUUAGGGGCAGAAAGUGGCAAUAGCAGAUAAUCACUGUUGAGAUAAAAAUUCUCAGCAACGCUCAACUCGCAGGAGAAUAAACUGGAAGUUUUGAUAAACAGCCCUCGCUCUGCCUUGAUGUCUGCCCACACAAAGCCACUGUUUUCUGUAAAACAUUUUGCCCUUGUUUGCUUCUAUGUAAAUUUGAGAUCACUUGGUAGAAAUGCAACACCAUAGGGAGAUAUGAACACUCAUGGAAUUAGUGAAUGCUUGAAAAGGUAAAAUUCCUAUCCUUGCUGCAGUGAUUAUGAAUACCAGAUUUUUUGUCGUGUUUUUCUCUCUCCAUCCCUCUCUUUUUUUGUUGUAUAUAUAGCCAGUGAUAUUAAUGGCACUCUCGUGUCAGACUUAUUUUUCUAAAUGAAUACUAAGAAUGUUUAAGAGUUCACAUAAUCCAUCUCUAGAAAGGAUAUUUAGCUAAUCUUUCUCAUUUAAUAUACACACAAAAAACUAGACAGGUUUUCACCCAUAAACCUCCGUGGCAUAAAAUGAACAACAGCAACUUUGCCAGCAGUCCAUUUUUAUAAAUAUUCUUCUCAAACUUUUUAGACACGUUCUUUUUCUGGAACUUUAAUAUUCUGGAGGUGAUAAGCUUACACCUUGGAAGCAGCUGACAGUUUGUAAACACAAGUGAUGAUGACUGCAGAAGCCAAAAUAUUUCUUGUCGUAAUACAUCAGGUCAACUCAUAAGAUGAUCUUGUUUGUUUGCAUUUCAAUGAGUUGCUAGUUGAGUGAUUUACACCAGCUGUUUCAAAAAGCAGGAUACAAGCGAUGUCCCGUGUAAUGAUGAGCUGAUGCUGGUUAAAACAUGGCCUUAGUGAUACGUGCUUAUUUGCUCACUUCUUCCACUUUUAUUUUGGUGGAAAGAUGUUCAGUUAAUUUUUUUUCUUUUGGUUUCUUUAUGAUUCUUCUCUUGCUGGCUUGGCCCAGUGCAAAGAAGAUAGUUUAUAAGAGUAUAUAGAAAGAGCUAUUUUUGUGGUAUUACUGCCCUGCUAGCCCUCAUUAUCAUUAUGUCUCUUGAGAAAUAAGUGGUUCUAAUAGUCCUGGGCUUUUCCUAUCCAUGCUGCUUCUUCAGAAGAUAAUUGCUGUCUAUUUCAAACCUUUUCCCUGGCAGAGUAAGGAACGGUCAUGUCCUGUCUCCUCUCUUGCCUCUCUCCCCACCAUGCAUUCAUUUCUCUACAAAAAAUCUAAUAUAGCUCAUCUCUGCUUCUCACUGCGGGCUUCCCUGGCAACAACAACAGCUGAAAAACUUGUGUUUUCCUUUUUUAUAUACAUUUGCAGAUCUGUGAUAAGAAACAACAAAGUCAAAGGGUUCGAAAGUAAAAGUAUAGAAUGAAUUAGAUGUAAAUCUAUCCAAUAGCAAUGGUAUUUCAAAGAGUGUGUCUCAGCACUGCUUGCUGCCGGGCAGUUCAGAGAGAGCAGGAGAAUACCUACGCAUUUGGGCUCUCACGCUCUUUGACCUCCGACUACAGUCUAUCAAGUAUUUUAAAACACUUAUUAUACCUCUAAUUAUAUUUCCAUAAAAUAUAGAAAUAUUUUCUUUGGGAAGACCAAAGCCUUAUAAACACACCAGGAAGAGCAACGUACAGCAAACAAUAACACAUAUGCUCUGAUCCUUCACUUGUUCCGUCCUGGUCCUCAGCAAGUCCUACAGUUGUGUGACAGAAAGGAGCACUCACGUCGCACAGGGAGGAAACAGCUGGUCUCUGGAUUACCAGCGGGUAAACACAUGUGUCUUGAAUUAUUGUUCUGGAGCACAUGGGACGUGGAAAAAGAGCCUGGAUUUGUCCCCGAGCAUGGGAUCUACUACGACCUCCUGAUAAAGUAAAAAAAAAUCCAUCAGUUUGAAGAUUUGUACCCUGACACAAGGAUUUGUAUUCUGGCCAUCCAAUAGUCUUAGCCUAUCUGGUUCAUCCCAUUUGCAGAACCUACAAUUUUGUGGACUCUGAUGUGCUCUUUCUGAUAGACAGACACAGAAGGGGAACCCGGAGGUGCAGGCAUCUACUUAUUGCGCCGUAUGGAUGCAUUUUGAUAAUAACCACACGAGGGCAGAAAAGAACAGACAUCUGCGGACAGCCAGACGGCAGCCUGAUUUAAGAGAAGCGUCAAGUUCUGAUAUUUUUGUAAGGGAUUUGAAUGGAUAAAUAUAUUUAUCCAUUCAAACGCACACACAUCUGGAAUUGUUUAAAUAUAAAUAUAUCGAUAGAACACAUGUACACAGUGAAUAUAUAUUUAUAGUGUGCAUUUGUAAAUAUGUAUUUCUGGCAAGUAUGAGGAAAAUCGGUUUGGUUUUAAUUUUGGAUUGGCCUUAGUAAGGAUCUGAGAAUAACAGAGGCAUAAAAACAACUGAACCAUAUUUCCCUCUCAUUAACAUAAGCUGACAGUGCUUUCUUCAGUCUUUACCACUGUACAGGUAGGAGGCUGCGAUUAAGCAAGACAAGGAUCAAACUCUGAAAUGGGGAGACCCAUACAAUCAUAAGGGUUUCCAUGAUCAGGGACACCCCCAUUUUACGAGCUUCAGAUGUCCUGUACUGAGCAACUGGAAGAAGCGAGUUUUGGUCAUAUAAAGCACAAGUCAAAAAAAUGAACUUUGUUAUUACUAAUCUACACAGUUACACUGAAUAUAUGGUGCAUACCAGUGUUUAAAAUCUCCCAGCCUCACUAAAUCAAAGUGAUCUCAGAUAUGCAAUAUAUUUUUAUAGGCAGCCUUGUAAAAAUUAUUUGUCAUGCUUGUAUGUCUGGAAUGUGUCAACAACACUGCAGGCACUGAACCAGCUGAUAGUAAUUACUGGGGGGGGGGAGAAGAAAAGAAAAAGAAUUAGGAGCAAAAUUAACAACUGAAUUAUAUGAGGAAAAUUAAAAGAAGCUUAAUUGAGCAGAAGACUGAAAGCCACUUCCCCAGAAAUCCUAUCCCAGCUUGCCAUCUUAUUCCUUGUACAGUGCCAAAUAAACCUAACGUUUCUGUU